CCUACGGGGGGCAGCAGUGGGGAAUAUUGCACAAUGGGGGAAACCCUGAUGCAGCGACGCCGCGUGAGCGAAGAAGUAUUUCGGUAUGUAAAGCUCUAUCAGCAGGGAAGAAAAUGACGGUACCUGAUUAAGAAGCCCCGGCUAACUACGUGCCAGCAGCCGCGGUAAUACGUAGGGGGCAAGCGUGAACCGGAUUUACUGGGUGAAAAGGGAGCGUAGACUGCAGCACAAGUCUGGAGGGAAAUGCCGGGGCUUAACCCCGGAACUGCUUUGGAAACUAUACAGCUAGAGUGCAGGAGAGGUAAGCGGAAUUCCGAGUGAAGCGGUGAAAUGCGUAGAUAUUAGGAGGAACACCAGUGGCGAAGGCGGCUUACUGGACUGAAACUGACGUUGAGGCUCGAAAGCGUGGGGAGCAAACAGGAUUAGAUACCCGUGUAGUC
rnacentral:rRNA from 1 species